UGAGUACGAGCGGCUACGGCCGCGAAGUGGAUGAUGUCAAGCUUCCAAGAAAAGCCCUAUACCCGUUAAGGCAUGAUGGCCUGUACCCGAAACCGACACAGGUGGGGUGGUAGAGAAUACCGAGGGGCGCGAGGUAACUCUCUCUAAGGAACUCGGCAAAAUGGCCCCGUAACUUCGGGAGAAGGGGUGCCACCGCGAGGUGGUCGCAGUGAAGAGGCCCAGGCGACUGUUUACCAAAAACACAGGUCUCCGCUAAGUCGCAAGACGAUGUAUGGGGGCUGACGCCUGCCCAGUGCCGGAAGGUUAAGGAAGCUGGUCAGCGCAAGCGAAGCUGGCGACUGAAGCCCCGGUGAACGGCGGCCGUAACGAUAACGGUCCUAAGGUAGCGAAAUUCCUUGUCGGGUAAGUUCCGACCCGCACGAAAGGCGUAACGAUCUGGGCGCUGUCUCGGAGAGAGGCUCGGCGAAAUAGAAUUGUCUGUGAAGAUGCGGACUACGUGCACCCGGACAGAAAGACCCUAUGAAGCUUUACUGUAGCUUGGUAUUGUGCUCGGGCUCGGAAUGCGCAGGAUAGGUGGGAGGCUUUGAUCCAUUGCUUGCGGGUGAUGGUGAGCCACUGGUGAGAUACCACUCUUUCCGAGCUAGAGUUCUAACAGCAACCCGUUAUCCGGGUGCUGGACAGUAUCAGGUGGGCAGUUUGACUGGGGCGGUCGCCUCCUAAAAGGUAACGGAGGCGCGCAAAGGUCUGCUCAGGCUGGUUGGAAAUCAGCCGACGAGUGUAAAAGCAGAAGCAGGCUUGACUGUGAGACCUACAAGUCGAACAGGGAGGAAACUCGGCUUUAGUGAUCCGACGGUUCUGCGUGGAAGGGCCGUCGCUCAACGGAUAAAAGUUACUCUAAGGAUAACAGGCUGAUCUCCCCCAAGAGUUCACAUCGACGGGGAGGUUUGGCACCUCGAUGUCGGCUCAUCGCAACCUGGGGCUGAAGUCGGUCCCAAGGGUUGGGCUGUUCGCCCAUUAAAGCGGUACGCGAGCUGGGUUCAGAACGUCGUGAGACAGUUCGGUCCAUAUCCGGUGCACGCGCAGGAAUAUUGAGAGGAUUUCUCCCUAGUACGAGAGGACCGGGAGGAACGCACCUCUGGUGUGCCAGUUAUCGUGCCAACGGUAAACGCUGGGUAGCCAUGUGCGGAGUGGAUAACCGCUGAAAGCAUCUAAGUGGGAAGCCCACCUCAAGAUGAGUAUUCCCAUGGCAUAAGCCAGUAAGGUCACGGGAAGAACACCCGUUGAUAGGCUCUACGUGGAAGCGCAGUAAUGUGUGAAGCGGAGGAGUACUAAUAGACCGAGGGCUUG
rnacentral:rRNA from 1 species